rnacentral:lncRNA from 1 species
UUUGACAAAUUUUGAGAUGCAAUGAAGAGAAACAACCAUAGAUUGUAGAUCAUUCUACAACAUGAUCCUUUUCCAUUAUUAUGGUUCGUAUUCACUGAGCAUCAUCAUCACUUCAUUCUUUCUAUGUAUCUUCUUUAUUCAAUCGAAGGUUCCUAUGGAGGAAGCGCAAUAAUUCAGUGCGUAUUUCUUCAAGUUUGCCUUCGUAUAUUUAUUCGAUAUCUAAUCACCAAC